GUGCUCGCUAUGGUAGCAUAUAUACUAAAAUUGGAACGAUACAGAGAAGAUUAGCAUGACACGCAAAUCCGUGAAACGUCCCAUUUUAAA
rnacentral:snRNA from 1 species